rnacentral:rRNA from 1 species
GACGAACGCUGGCGGCGUGCUUAACACAUGCAAGUCGAACGGAAAGGCCCUGCUUUUGUGGGGUGCUCGAGUGGCGAACGGGUGAGUAACACGUGAGUAACCUGCCCUUGACUUUGGGAUAACUUCAGGAAACUGGGGCUAAUACCGGAUAGGAGCUCCUGCUGCAUGGUGGGGGUUGGAAAGUUUCGGCGGUUGGGGAUGGACUCGCGGCUUAUCAGCUUGUUGGUGGGGUAGUGGCUUACCAAGGCUUUGACGGGUAGCCGGCCUGAGAGGGUGACCGGACAAGGUAGGAUUGGGAUGAGACACGGACUCGUACGGGAGGCAAAAGUGGAGUAUGGUAUACUAUGGGCGGGAGGAUGAUGCGACAAAGCCGCGGGGGGGGUGAGGGCAUUGGGGUAGUAAAGCAAAUUCGCCUGAGACGGGACGUUAGUGACGGUAAUGGGAAAAGAAGCACCGGCUAACUACGUG